rnacentral:antisense_RNA from 1 species
UGAUCUAGGGCUUACGGGGAGUGGGGAGACGGGAGCCGGCAGCCGGGAGGGGAGCGGGCCGCCGAGCAGGAGGUGAUUCACCCUUCGCCCUGCCCCUCGCCCUGCCCCACUGUCACCUCCCCUGGGCGGUGCAGAACCCUGAACCGCCCGGCGCAAUGCUGAAGGUGGGACUGCCUUUGGGUGCCUGUGCGCGGUCGUGGAAGUCGGUCCGGAUGGCUAGCUGCGGGAUGGCGCGCCGGAACCCGCUGGAGAAUAAAGUGGCCCU